AUUGAACGCUGGCGGCAGGCCUAACACAUGCAAGUCGAACGAGUUGCGGACGUGUGAGUCAGGUCUGGGAAACUGCCGGGUGGAAGGGGCUUACUACUGGAAACUGAUGCUAAAAACGCAUACCAUCAGAUUUUCCCCGGUGGGAUAUGCUAGUGGGUGGGGUAACGUCGCACAUAGGCGAAGGUCCCUACCUGGUCUGAGAUGAUGACCAGCCCCACUGGAACUGAGAAACGGUCCAGACUCCUACGGGAGGCAGCAGUGGUGAAUAUUGCACAAUGGGCGCAAGCCUGAUGCAGCAAUGCCGCGUGUAUGAAGAAGGCCUUCGGGUUGUAAAGUACUUGCAGCGAGGAGGCGUUACUUGCAGAAGAAGCACCGGCUAACUCCGUGCCAGCAGCCGCGGUAAUUC
rnacentral:rRNA from 1 species